rnacentral:rRNA from 1 species
GACGAACGCUGGCGGCGUGCCUAAUACAUGCAAGUAGAACGCACAGUUUACCGUAGCUUGCUACACCAUAGACUGUGAGUUGCGAACGGGUGAGUAACGCGUAGGUAACCUGCCUGGUAGCGGGGGAUAACUAUUGGAAACGAUAGCUAAUACCGCAUAAUAUUAAUUAUUGCAUGAUAAUUAAUUGAAAGGUGCAAUUGCACCACUACCAGAUGGACCUGCGUUGUAUUAGCUAGUAGGUGAGGUAACGGCUCACCUAGGCGACGAUACAUAGCCGACCUGAGAGGGUGAUCGGCCACACUGGGACUGAGACACGGCCCAGACUCCUACGGGAGGCAGCAGUAGGGAAUCUUCGGCAAUGGACGAAAGUCUGACCGAGCAACGCCGCGUGAGUGAAGAAGGUUUUCGGAUCGUAAAGCUCUGUUGUAAGAGAAGAACGGGUGUGAGAGUGGAAAGUUCACACUGUGACGGUAUCUUACCAGAAAGGGACGGCUAACUACGUG